AUGUUUUCUUCCCCCAUUCUGUUUAAAAUGCUGUUUGUAUUUUAGGGUUAGGGUCAGCCUUCGUCGCCGCGCUGUAACGUAAUCAGCCUACAAAUACGGCCUUCGAAGGAUGCGGCCCCUGAGGCUGCCUCGCCAUUGCUGAGCUAACGCUUCACUCACAGUGUGACCAUCUCCGGUCUCGUCAGGGAUGUAGGUGCAGCAGGUCUCAUUCAGAAGAAUGCAAACUCCCCCAGACAGGGCCGUUACCAAAUCCAACACCAUCCUGUCUUGCAGUACCACUGUGCAGAGUGUAGUUAUUUCUUUGGACAUUCCUGUAAAAGCUUCAUCAGAGGCAUUAACAAAUAACCCGAACCUAUAAUCUAUGGUUUCUAACCUGAGCAUUUUUUUCCCUACUCCUAACCAUGGGAAUAAACCUAACAAGAUCUCA